AUGAGCUCUAGCGCUGUCGGCCUCAACCUCGGCGCCCCACCAACAGAGAAGCUCGCGAGGGGGAACUACCUCCUAUGGAAGGCGCAAGUUCUGCCGGCCCUGCGAGGCGCGCAGGUGACCGGUCUUCUCGAUGGCAGCGAUGCAGCGCCGCCGAAAACAGUGGAGGUCGCCAAGGCGGACAAAACCAUGGCCAUCGAGCCGAAUCCACCGUAUGGUCCAUGGAUUGCCAAAGAUCAGCAGGUCCUAAGUUAUCUGCUAAAUUCGCUCACUCCAGAAAUCCUCGCGCAAGUUAUCGGUAAGGAAAGUACCCUUGAUCUAUGGACCGCCCUUACCACGAUCUUUGCUGCGCAGUCGCAAUCGCGAAUAACAAACCUGAGGAUCGCCAUCUCCAACACCAAGAAGGGAAACAUGUCCAGCAAUGCUUUCAUCACCAAGAUGAAGAGCCUAGGAGACGAGCUUGCGGCAGCGGGUCGUCCGGUGACAGAUGGAGAGAUGGUGGACUACAUCCUCGUCGGACUUGAUCGGGAUUACGAUCCCGUCGUUGCAGCAGUUGGCGCCAUCAAGAAUUCAAUCUCUGUUGAUGAUCUUUUCUCACAGAUUUCCGCCUUUGAUUAG
rnacentral:rRNA from 1 species